rnacentral:rRNA from 1 species
AUGGACUUCGCUCGCCGGAAAGCGGCGGCGCUGGCCGCGCUCUCCUCGCCGGCGCCGGACAAGUCACCGAAAGGCGGCGUAGACGCCCCCAUCGCCCCGCUCCUCGACGCGCUGAACUCCAACGCGGAUCUCUUCACCACGUCCUCCUGCUCCGGCCGCAUCUCAGUUCUCGCGCAGCCCUCGCCGCAGUCCCAAGCGGCCGACCCCAAGCCCAAGAAGAAGGCCCGGGGCGGCGGGUGGUUGUACAUCUCGCACGACCCCGCUGACCCGGACGCAGUUGUAGAGCUCCUGUUCGGUGGGACUGGAUGCGGAGAGAGGGGUGGAGGGGAUGAGCUCGUGUUCAGGUUCGAGCCGAUGAUCGUGGCGGUGGAGUGCAGGGAUGCUGCGGCAGCCGCGGCGCUCGUGGCCGCUGCAAUCGGGGCGGGGUUCCGGGAGUCAGGUAUCACAAGCUUGCAAAGACGGGCAAUGGUAGCAAUAAGAUGUUCAAUUCGCAUGGAGGUGCCUCUUGGUCUGACAAAUGAACUUGUUGUUUCUCCCGAGUACAUCCGGUACCUUGUUAGAAUUGCCAACUGUAAGAUGGAGGCAAACAAGAAACGAAUGGAUGGCUUUCUAGACGUUUUGCAGUCAAAGGGUCUGCCAGGUAUAUCUGGGUUGCAAGUUCGUACCAAAAAAGACGAUCAUUCUUUGGGCUCUGAAGUUCAGGCGUCACUCAAUCAGAGUGUACAAACACAUGAUGAACUGUUAGUUACGGAAAAGAGACGUGACAGCUAUAAUUGUGACGCUGGUACCAAAGGUGAUUGUGGAAUUGGUGAGAAUUCAAUAGAAGGGUCAUAUUAUGAAAAUCGAGAUGCUGUACGCAACAACAUUGCGAAGCAUGGUUUUGGUAAUGCUGAACGAUUAAUGCAUGAGGGAAAACUAUCAGCAUCAUCGGGAAUUAGAAGUUCCCAUCUUUCUAUUACUGAGUUGAAGAUCAGUGGUGAACCAGUUGAGAAGCUCUUCUUAUGGGGCCAAUCUGCUUGUGCGUUUACUAUUGGAGGAAAGCAGCAGGUCCUAACUUUCGGUGGUUUUGGAGGACCAGGAAGACAUUCAAGAAGAAAUUAUUCCCUUCUGCUUGAUCGCACAUCUGGGUUGUUGAAGGAAAUAAACGUUAAAGAUUCACCUUCACCACGGAUGGGUCAUACAACUACUGCAGUAGGCAACCAUAUUUAUGCUGUUGGAGGUAGGGCUGGUCCUUCAGAAAUUCUUGGUGAUGUCUGGGUUUUGCAAAGCACAGAAAAUAGAUGGUCAAGAGUAGAGUGCAGUGGGGAUAUUUUCCAUCCUAGGCACCGACAUGCUGCUGCAGCAGCAGCUUUGAAAAUAUAUGUGUUUGGUGGACUCAGUAAUGAAGGCAUAUAUUCUUGUUUGAAUAUAUUGGACACAGAAAGCAUGCGAUGGAAUGUGAUUUCUGCUGCUGGUGAAUGGCCAUGUGCUCGACAUUCACAUUCUCUGGUGUCUUAUGGGUCAACACUGUUCAUGUUUGGGGGUCAUGAUGGUCAGCGGGCACUGAAUGAUUUUUAUAGUUUUGAUACAACAACACUUAGUUGGAACAAAGAAAUCACUAGCGGAAGAACUCCCUCUCCUAGAUUUUCACAUUGCAUGUUCAUCUAUAAACACUAUAUUGGGAUACUUGGUGGUUGCCCAAUCAGAGAAAACAACCAAGAAAUAGCAUUGCUACACUUAAAGCAUAGAGUCUGGUUCCAUGUCUCCAUUCCAGCUCUAGGUCAAUGCCUUUGUGUGCGUAGCUCAUCUGUUGUCACCGAUGAUGAUCUUGUUGUUAUUGGCGGUGGUGCAUCUUGCUAUGCAUUUGGAACAAAAUUUUGUCAACCAGUAAAAAUUGAUCUUCAUUUGCUGGAGUCAGUAUUUGAACUUGCUUACAAGAAAAACGACAAUGCCGUACAGAGUUGGGAUGCAACAUAUACAAUGGAUUUAAAAGAACGUGAGCAAAAUGGCACCUUUAUUAGUCAUAAGGUGAAGUCAAUGGUUGAUGCUGCUACUAAUGGUAUUGCUGGUUCAGAUCCUCUGGUUUUCCAAUUGGAAAAGAAAUAUGCCAAAUUAGCGAAGGAUAUUCUGAAAAAGUUUGGAUGGUUGGACCUUGCUAGAAAAGUUCGAGUGAGCCAGGAUAAUGUCCUUGUUCUUUUUCCUGUUAGUAGAAACUUCCACACCUUAGUCACUGAUCAACAUUCCAAGUUGCUAGAUGAUGAUUCAUGUAUCUCUAAAGGACUAUUGGGAUGUCCGGAAAAGAAGCUUAUCGGUGAUAGCAUUGCUCUUCAUGAAGCAUUGGAAAUACUAUCAUCGUUCCAUGGUUCUUUUUUGAAAGAUGAACUAGCUCUCAGCCGAAAAGCUUAUAAAUCUCCUCAAAUCAUCAUGAGAGAACUUAUAUCUUCUCUACUGGAAAGAAAAGGAAUGCCCUCUUGGUUGUUAGAGCAGCUGCCAACUAGGUGGGAAACCUUAGGUGAUAUCACCGUGCUUCCAAAGACUUGUUUUAAGGACCUGCUGUGGGAAUCAGUUAGAGAAGAACUUUGGCAACUAGUUGCCAAGUCGCUUGGGGCGCAACGUCUUGCACGCCAAGGGAAAAUCAUGCCAAAUGGCACAAGAGAUAGUACAUUAGAACUUCUUGUGGGUGAUAAUGGGUGGGUAACCCAUUAUGAAAAUGGCAUCUCUUAUUCACUCGAUGCAACAAAAUGCAUGUUUUCUUCUGGUAAUCGCUCUGAGAAGCUUCGAAUGGGACAGCUUGAUUGUAGAGAUGAAGUGGUUGUGGACUUGUUUUCCGGAAUUGGAUACUUUGUGCUCCCAUUUCUUGUGAAGGCUAAUGCGAAGUUGGUUUAUGCAUGUGAAUGGAAUCCACAUGCUCUGGAGGCUCUUCAGCGGAAUGUAAUGGACAACCAUGUAGCAGAUCGAUGCGUUAUACUUGAAGGAGAUAACCGUUUGACAGCACCAAAAGGGGUUGCUGAUCGUGUUUGUCUUGGGCUGAUACCCUCCAGUGAAUGUAGCUGGGCUACUGCUGUUAGGGCUUUGAGGGUUGGCGGAGGCGUAUUACAUAUACAUGGGAACGUCAACGACUCAGAUGAGGCGCGCUGGUUGGACAAUGUUGUUGAAUCCAUCAGUAGCAUUGCGACAGCUCGUGGACUGUCUUGGAAAGUCUCUCUGGAGCAUGUCGAACGAGUCAAAUGGUAUGGGCCGCACAUUCGACAUGUCGUAGCUGAUGUCAGAUGCGGGUCAAACUGA